rnacentral:sRNA from 2 species
UUGGCCAACAGCUGUCGUGAGAUUUGCUUUCAAUUGCCGGUUCGAAUUUGGGUAAAGUCUAAUAAUACUUGAACUUCGCGCCAAGUAGCUUUUUCGCAGAACAGAGGGGCUCUCUUUGUCACAGGAACCAAGCAAGCUGGAAGCAAGAUGGCCUUGGCUGCUGCUGCUGCCGUUGCCGGUGUGUCGGUGCCUUGGGUGCCUACCUGGAUGGCAAGUACCAACUCAGACGGGACGCCUACACGAUCCACCGGAUGAGACGUAGUGAACGCAUUGCUGCCCGCGCAAAGGCAGAAGGACGGUUGAACGUGUGGUAUGUCUUUAGGAAC